GGGGGGAUAAAAACCUUGUAAUUGCAAAUCUAGUCAAUACUGUAUUAAAUAUGUGCACUUUGAAGUGUGUGCUUUGCUUGUACAGAUGUAAAUACUCAGAAAAAUAUAAGAGGUACCUUAAAAUGAUUAUAAAAAUAUAUUGAUCCUUGUUAACUAUAAUGUCGCUAUCGAGCUGGAUGUAGAAUAUAAAAGAAAAAAAAAAAGACGUGAUGUCGUGCGUUCGGAAAUAUUUUUCUUUAACUACUAUUGUUUUUCAGUUUGGGUGUGCUGAGUUUGAUUCCUGCUCCGCUCUGCAGUGUGAGCAGGUCAUUUAUUGUAUUGUUUUUUUGUUUCUUUUGUUCUUUCAUUCCUUUUUAUUUUUUCGCUGUGCGUUCGGUCUCACCUGGAUGCUCAGGUGCGACAGUAACCCCGCCCUCCCCCUCCUCUGUGUUCACAGUCUGUGAUUCCGACAAAGCCGAGUGUCCACUGGCAUCCUCUUUGAAGCUCUGGCUUCUUUUUCUUUCACUGAUACAGUUGAUUUUGGGGGAAUUUUCCUCACAGUGUGUUUGCUUUUUGGACAGUCUGAAUGAAGCUUUUAGCAAAACAAAAACAAAGCACUACAUGUUGGAUAUUUACUCUGUUUUUGCCAUUGUUGAGUACUCUGCUAACAAUGCCAAAAGAUGAGACGUGACAUGAAAGCUGCAGCUAAAGGCAUUAAUGCAAAACUUUAGGUAACACUAAUACUUAAGAUGAGAUGUUCAUGCAUAUGCAGCUCAGUAGGCUAUAAUCAAACUGCACUGUGUCCACAUUGGUCGGGCAGCAUGACUAGACUGCAGCUUUUAUUUGAGAAUAUUAGAAAUCCUCGUUCUGGUUCCAAAUAUCCACCAACACAACGACCAUCUGAGGGCUUAUUUUAUCGGUUUUUGUCUGAUGAGCUCAAACUCUAUUUUCUCCUUUCUGUCCAGAUUUUAGGAUGAGUGAAUAUCACAGUUUUGGGGGUAAAUCAGAUUUCAGGAAACCAAAAGUCUGAGACCAGGAAGCAUUGAAGCUAGGCUAGGUUAGCAGAAACACUGGACGCCUGGCUCUGUUAUGUUUAAAAAUCUGUUUCUUUAAAUUUCACUAGUCAACACAUUUGAUUUUUGCACAUACACCAGUUUAAAUGUGUGAAAAAAUAAAUAGAAACCAAAUAAAUAGCACAUUUCUGUUGUUAGUCAGUGAACAGCACAUUAAAAAAGGCAACUAAACCUCACAAAUCUUUUUGUGUGGCAGACCGCGUGCAUCGGAUUAUUGGUUGUUACGUGUUUUGUUAGAUAAGCCAUUUUUUUUGUUUGUUUGUUUUUUCCAAACAGAGCCACGUGCUUUAUUAUAAAGGACAGGCGAAUACCCAAAAUACAUUUUUAAAAAAUUAAGUUUUGUUUUCAUAGAACAGCUAAAAGCUUUCCUGAGAAGGACUAAGCUUCAGUUUUAAAACGGUAAUAGUUUUGCUAGACGUUGUUUCUCAGAUUUAGUGUUUUUCACUGGUUUUUGUGCUUGGCCCUGUCAUGUAUAUUUAAUGGGUUUCUUAGAGCUUUGUAACUGAUUUUUGGAUUUAUCUGUGAUAAAUCACAGCGUUCAGAUUGUACCAGCCAGAGAUGAUCUUGAAAAGCUAUUCAACUAUCUUUACCCAAACUGAACAGAAAUUUUGCUGCAGACCAACAGGGGGCGCCCUGAGUGAACAGGAGUGAAUGAAGCAGGUUUUGUAGUUUUCACAAUCAUUGAUAAAUUGUCAGAUUAGAAAUAAAACACUUGGUGGGCUUUUAGACUUUGCACAUAAAAUCCCAGUGUUCUAAUCCUUUCAGAUUGACUGGAUUUACGACAGGAAACGCUCUUUUGAUGGUUUCAGUUUUCACACAAUGAUGAGAUGUUAGAAGUGUAGAUGAGCCACAGUGGAAACUUCAGUGUGCGUAUAAUAAGCAGCUGGUGGUCGUGGUGAUGCCAUCAGGAUACCAUCGAGGUGGUUCAUGCUCCACUGAUGUCUCUGGCAGAAAGGCAUUUUACUACAGUCGGAAACCUGUAAAAAUCUAAAAAUUGAGCUUUUAUUCAUCAUUUCAACCACUUCUGUCAGAAACAUGGUGAAGGAAAGUGUUUACUGGAAGUUCAGAGAAUGGGAGGAGUUGAGUAUUUCGAAGUGUGCUGAUAGAGAUCCUGUGCAUGGUAAAGCUGUUCAAGUCCAAUCUGACCAACUUCUGCAAAUGUUGUAUUCUCGGUUUAUCCGUUUCUCUGUGCGUUUGGGUCGGGGUCCAGUAAUCCCUUUGGUCUGAUUUCAUUUGUUAAGCAUUUCAGAUGCUGGACAGAAAACCAGAGCUUUUCAGACAGAAAUCAAUAAAAAGAAACCCUGAACCAUCGAAGCUGGCCAAUCAGCAGCUAAACAGACUUUGACGAACCAUCGGGCGGAUGCUGGUUUGCUGAAAAGAGCGAUGCUUGGUGGACACUUCUUGGUUUAGUCGAGGCGAUGUGAUGUGUGACGCCCAUCAGAAGCUUCACAGUGAAGCACAUCUUGAACACUCGGCACUUGUGGUGGGAGAUUAUUGCAGCCUGCCGCCAGGUGACGUCGAGUCUCGGGCCGUCGGAUUGUGCAUUUCAUUUUAAAAAAACAUUAAAAAAAACAAGGCGACUCGUUGGAGCUAAAAGUUUCCCGCCCAGGUGUCGACGUGGGCGCGAGACAUCCAAGGAGCCAAAAACCAUUCGACCCGCUCUGUGCAGUUUUGUUUCUUCUCUUCAGAUUAAUGUUUGUGAUUUCUUGUUCAUGUUCAUGUUCAUCAGCUCCAAGGUUUCCUCUCCUGAGAAAUAAAUGUACAAAUGUUUUGGUUUUUUCCUAUGUGCUUUUUUUUGUUUUUUUGGGGGGGUAGGGAGUAAAAGGCUCAACUGGAAUGAGAGUAGUUUACCUUGUUCAGAGCGAUGUUUCUCACGUACAGUACAUUUAACACGCAGGUUGACAUGUCUGUUAAAACCAUUUGAUCACAUGUUGGACUGCAGUUCGAUGUGGCAAAGAAAACCAAUAACCGUGCCAUUAUACAACAGUCGUUUUUGUCUUGGCUGGGCAGUUUAACCUGUACAUACAUAGCUGAGCGCUUACCGUCUCGGGCUUUUAUUUUUGUUUUUUACUUUAAGAUGUGAUUUUUCCUGUUACUGGAAGCCUGGAGACACCUUCAGUUUGACACCAGUGACUGUAGGAGCGUUUUUCACGCGGUGUAACUCGCGGUGGAUCCCCCGCCUGAGGUCGAGGUGCCGUCUGCCUCUGGUGGCCUCGAACUUUGAGAAUACAAACUGGGCAUCUCUGAACUGUGAAUGUGUGCAUGUGUGGAAUAAAAUAAAAUGUACCACCCAGCUAAUCCAGGCCGAUGCAAAAGUGACUCUUUCCACAAGCGCGGUACCUCAGACUGGAUGGUACCGCUUUCAAAGGGAUCUCUUAUUUUGGCGGGAAAGACUCGCCGCGAGCUCCUUGUGCCUCUUCAGUCUUGCCGGCGUUCAUCCAGAUGCUCAGUGGUGGCAUUUUUGAAGGAGCUCCCUUUUCCUCGUGGACUUCUGCAUGGAGCGUCACACUUCAUAUCAGCCUGUUGGUCGCCUCAGACCUCCUUCCUGUUCGUCCCUUUUGACAGUGCCAUUUUUCUUCUUUUGGGUUUUUUUUUUUUUGUUUGUUUGUUUUUGUUUUGUUUUUGUUUUCCCUCCAGGAGGGUUGCAUCUUGUCGUUUAAAAAAGAAAAAAUAGACCCCCUUGUGUUUUUGUGUUUUCAUUUUGUUUUUCAAAGAUGUAUAACAAUGAAUGCACACCAACUGACUGGAAGAGGACUAUGAACUCACUGUGGUUUAACUCAUUAACACUCUUACCAUGCUACGCUAACAGCUGUGGACAAUCGACGACUCCGUGUUGGGGUUUGGACAGAUAAUUUUGCCUAACGACACCUUUAACAGACGUGGAAUGGAGGUUUGCGAUCAAGAGGGCUUCUCUCUAUUUUCCUUUUGUUUUUUGUUUUUUUAAAUCUGGAUUUGGUUUAUUUUUUUGUUUUGUUUUUGUUUUUGUUAUUUUUUUUUUUUAUUUUUUUUUUGUUUGGGUCUUUUCUUCCAUCGAGACUGGAAUCAAGCGUACAUGUCAGCUAUAGAUAAUUUAAGUUACUCUUGUGUCAUGAUGUAAACUGUCUAAUUUGGAGAAAAAAAAUGUAGCUUACUGAAAAAUAAAGAUUUAGGCACUGUUGAGGAGCCACUGUGUGAUUUUUCUUUCUUUUCUUUCUUUUCCAAAAGAUCUUUUCAAACCUUUCUUGUUAGUUGUUCCAUAAUUACAGAAACUACAGUCAAUAUAGAGAAAAAUUACACAAAGUUCUUCCUCAUGAAAGGGGGGGAAAAAGUGAAAAACCUAAAUAAAUUUUUAAGCAAUACCUUGCAAAACAAUCUGAUUGCCUUCAGGAUGUAAAGUUCAUAGUGGCACUGUUAUGUUAUAAGCAUCAUUAUAGAGUGUGCAUCACUCAGAACCAGCUGUUUGAACAAUACA
ensembl:lncRNA